UACAGAGGUCUCAAGCGUUGUUCGGAAUUACUGGGCGUAAAGGGCGCGUAGGCGGCCUUCUAAGUCGAACGUGAAAUCCCUGGGCUCAACCCAGGAACUGCGUCCGAUACUGGAAGGCUUGAAUCCGGGAGAGGGAUGCGGAAUUCCAGGUGUAGCGGUGAAAUGCGCAGAUAUCAGGAGGAACACCGAUGGCGAAGGCAGCUCGCUGGGACGGUACUGACGCUGAGACGCGAAAGCGUGGGGAGCAAACAGG
rnacentral:rRNA from 1 species